UACUGUGAAAUAUAUUUUUUUUACGAAAUGGCUUACAACUCUCUCGCUAUACUCAGAACAACCUUUUUCUACCCGAACAAUAUUGUGGUUAUGGUCGUUUCUUUACCAGGUUAUAUUGUUUCAUCCCGUACGGCGUCAUCACUCAGUCCAUCUGGGACUACAUCAUGCCUGCUUGGAUGGAAGCCAUCUGUACUGAUGUGCCUGAAAAAGAACUAAUGCAGUUAAAAGUUCCAUUAGGCAAGAUCUUGGAACCGGAAGGUGCGAUGGCGGGAGUGGAUGAGAAGAACCUGUAGAAGUUCGCGGUGUUGAAGGUCAACACGCCCACCCCUGAUAGUGUACUCCCGGUCCUCGAGUGGUUCCAGACAAUAUCGAUGCUGGACGUGAAGAUCCCACUUUCUCAACUCUUCAAUCUAUUCAGCCACUGUAUUGUCAACAUACCUGAAAAGAUAUUUAAACCACCCACAGGUAUGUUGAAUACUCAAAUUCAUGUACUUGUCUGUAACGGAAAUCCAUGAACGAAACCAGUGAUAUACGCUUAAUCAAAUAUAAACUUAUACUAGUCAUAGAAAUACUUAUAUUUUGUCGUUUUUUUUUUUUGUGUAUAACACUAAUACUUGUCACCAAGCCAAGCCAACUGUUGUGAACCAAGCCGAAAGAUGACCAGAUGAAGCCACAAAAUCUAACUUGUUGCAUACUCAUGCUGGAUAUACUACUUAAACAGAUGGAGCUAAUUCAACGUCCCAUCAACACACAGAACGUGAGCAGUGAAGCGACCAAACUCCUGCGUCUGAUGCUCAACUCAAAUCAAACCAACACGAGAUGCUGCUGCGGCGCGGGCAGCGCGCGCGUGACGUGGCCAGCACGCACUCGUUGGCCGCGCUCGAGCCACACGGCAGGAGACACUGGCUCAUGGCGCUACUGGUCGUGCUGUAAAAGGUAAUAUAACUUCAAUAUUUCUACUUAACAUGCCUGAAAAGUCCCCAAGUCAAAAGGAGAAAAUUGGUCGUGCAGAAUGAGAUUUGAAAUCUUUUGGUUCUUACGGGAUCCAGUUUCUAAUUACGAGUCUUCAAAAGAACAGGGUUUCUAUGUUACUCAAAGUGAUAAAGACGUUCGAAAUCCGAGCGGGAACAAAAUGAUAUAUGUAAAGUCGUUACGCCAAUCAAUGUUUUUGGAACGUAUCGACGUAAUUGUAUUUUAUUUUUUUUUUCUUUUUAGUUUUCUUUUUACAUUGCUAUAAUUUAUUUUCCUAGUUUAAAAGCUUUCUUUCUACAUUGCUAAACUAAAAGAUCAGCAAAAUCAAGUAUAUUUAUAUAACUCACGAAUGCCACAAAAACGCACACCCAUCCCACGGCAGUAUCACUACGGUAGCGGCAGCGUAUGCGCGAUGGUGCUGUCCCUCAUCCGCGUGGUCCUCAACACUGUGGAGGUGCAGUACCACCAGUACAAAAGAACCCCUCCCAUGAUCGUCAUGCCGCACACCACCAGAACUAAGGGUAAGGUCAAAACUAACUGCUCAUAUUAUUAUCUCAAAUGCUUCUAUGAAAUAUGUCUUCCCAAAUUGUAUGAAGUUAAAGUUAUUCGGACGUGUGUGCUCAUAAUGUGAUGUUUUUCCCUUUAGUGCAUGUGCAUUGUGUCGAUUCCUACUCUGGCGAUGACAUCUUCUUGUUUCCGUUACCGUUCACGUUGCUUUGCAAAUAACAACACAUUUUAAUGUUAUUAGUUUUCUGAAAUGAUCAGUCUCAUUGAUUUAGUGGUCCUAAGAGCAACAACAGUGGUUGCGGUAUCCCAUUCAAGAAGCUUCCAAAAAAAUAUGUUAAUUAAAUAGCUAGAGACGCUGGAAAUUAAAAAGAUAGGCGGUGUCCACACCCCCGUGCCUCGAAAAGCACGUACAAUCAUUGUUCCGGCGGCUGACUUCGACUAUGAGGGUGAUGGCGAAAGCACCUGUCUGCAGGCAUGCACAAAAGUAACUGCCGCACAGAUGAUCCCUGCUGAUAGAAACCAGAAAGCGAUCAAAAUAAUUUAGUAGGUAAGCGGCAAAAAAAUAUAAUAGACAAAAAGAAAGCGCUCGCGAUUACCCUCGCAAAGGGUACGCUAGUAUAAAUGAGGCACCUUUCUAGACGUGACUAGCUCGUGAUGUAUCCGCCACACGCGCUGCACACGACGCACGCGGCUCACACGACGCAGACUGGUCACGCACCGCACGCCGCACACGCGCUGCACGAGGCCUCGCCGCCGCCUGCCGAGCGCACAUGCAACGACCAACAAGUUUGUAUACAUACUCAUUACUUAUAAACUUCCAUCCAUAUAGGAUGCUACUCAAGAAGCCGGAACCUCCCGACUGUGCUGACGUAUCGACGGUAAGUUGCCAAGGUAACACGCGGUAACACGUUUUGUAACCUUCGAUGCGGUUUAAUACUGUAA